GGGAAAGGCGUCUCCUCCCCCACACCCUAUCUUCUGUGUCCGAGCCACUCUCGUCCUUUCUGGGCCUUCUUUCAUCCUCCCAGGGCACAGAGGAGGAUAAGUGACUUGUCCAAGGUCACACAGCCAGUAAGCAGUGAAGCCAAGAUUUGAACCCUAGCAGCCUGGCUCCUAGGUCAACCACUCUAUGCCAAGGCAAAGGUGCGAUUACUGCUCCAGACAGGCAGAGAAGGGAUGGAGGGAAUGAGACCCCAUUCUUCACCCAUCUCACAGGCCAGCCGGCUUGGUGCCUGACACCAGAGAACAAGUGAUGGUGAAGCACUUACCGCUCCAUAAAAGCGUCUUUGGGAAUUCUGGCCAGGGUGUUGCUCUGCUAACCAGGAGCCCAUGAAAUAAUAAUCCCACUGAUUAGCCUCAGUCCCCCAAGCUCUGGCUAGCUCCACCCUCUUGAAGCCCAAACCCCCUAGAAGGGUCUGUUAAAGGGGUUUGUCCGGAGAUUCAUAAUCCUUUGGACAAGGGAGACCCAAGAGCACCCCUGUAAUUCCAGUUUGCUCUAAGCUGCUACCGGAAAUGCUGGGAGUCCGAGGGUCUCUGGGCCUGGUAGCUGGUUCUCAGCUCCUUCUCCCACCCUCAGAAACUGGGGGCUUCCCCACCUGGCCAGACGCGUGGGCACAGACCCCUUGGGCUGGGACCAGUUAAGAUGAUCUACCACCAAGGGUGUGGGAGAUUCUGGGCAGAACACAGGGGCCUGCGCCCUCCUCCAAUCCACACAAGAGCUUCUGAGUACAUUGUACAAACUUCCAAACCCCAACUGGGUGAGGUUUCUGUCUUCUCCGGACUUCUAUAUUGGGGUUGGGGGGCCUGUGGGGAGGGGUUUUCAAGACCCAAUCUUGAGUUUGGAAAUCUAAGUCCCAAAGCUUGCUCCUGACAGAGGCCUUCUAAGAAGGGUUAGGAGACAGACUUC
rnacentral:lncRNA from 10 species